UAAAGAAUAGGACCAGUAAACAGAUCUUUCAGGUUGAUUCAAAUACUUCAGUGGAAACCGCCAACUGUGUAUAUAUGAUCUUUUGCAAUAAGUGCAAGAGACAAUACGUGGGACAGACGAAGAAUGAACUUAGAAAGAGAAUUUAUCAGCAUACUCAUAACAUUAUAAACAAAAUAGAAAAACGUAGAUUCAUUGUAAGACACUUCAUGUCCCACGGCCUUCCCUCUCUCAGAGCCACGGUGCUCCAAGCCAACUCUCUCUGGGAUCUAAAAAGAUAGACUCAAGGCAGAGAGAAGUUGGAUCAAAAAAUUGGGUACAUUAUACCCAAGGGGCCUCAAUGAGGUCUGAGAGAGGCAAGGCCUGACUAAAUCUGAAUUGCUCUCUCUUUAUAUAUAUUUUUUAUAUUUCCUCUUCUUUCUAUAUUUUCUCUUUUACACUACAUCUAAACCUAACGAAGCUAACUAUACUACACCUAAACUUAACCAAGUUAACUAUAAUACACCUAAAACCUAACCAAGUUAACUAUACUCACCUAAAACUUAACCAAGUUAACUAUACUACACCUAAACUUGAGCAAGUUAACUAUACUACACCUAAACUUAACCAAGUUAACUUUGCUACACCUAAACUUAACCAAGUUAACCACACUACAUCUAAACCUACUCAUUCUACCCCUGAUCGUUUGAAACCUAUAUAUUCUAACCCUAUCCAUUACAUCUAUUGUAUUAUAAAUAAUGAAUUUAAAAAGGAUUUCUCUUUUCCGGGGGGUUGUUGUGGGCCUGGGCUGUGGGGCUCUGCUCGAGCGGUGAAAACAGGUGGCCAUUAGGAGUAUAAGAAGGACAGUGCAUGUACCGAUGUUGAACUAUGUUUCAGCUUCUGGAUCUCAUUCGUUCCUAACUCUAACCUAACCUAACCCUAACCUAACCUGAUUUUGGGCCUCCAUCAUGAGACUGGGUGAUGUAGAAGAGCCACACAUACGAGAAGAGAAUCAAAUAGAGUGUAAUUAAAAGACAAGAGAGUCAAAUAAAAUUUAUUUCCUUCAUCUACACCGAUGAAGUGACAUGCACAGUGUUUAUUUCUUUGAGGAAUCGUGAACUGCACCACACACACUAAACCUACCAGCCACUGUUGCUGUGCAAACCUAGGAGAAAGAGCCCUAAGCUCUCUAGCCCCAUUUUGGGAUUUUUUGCAUCAACAGAAAAAUAUUUUUUUGGG
ensembl:lncRNA